CUAAGUUUGAUGGCGACCGGCGCACGGGUGAGUAACACGUAUCCAACCUGCCGAUAACUCUGGAAUAGCCUUUCGAAAGAAAGAUUAAUACCGGAUAGUAUACGAAUAUCGCAUGAUAUUUUUAUUUAAAGAAUUUCGGUUUAUCGAUGGGGAGUGCGUUCCAUUAGUUUUGUUUGGCGGGGGUAACGGGCCCCACCCAAGACUACGAUGGAUAGGGGUUCUGAGAGGAAGGUCCCCCACAUUGGAACUGAGACACGGUCCAAACUCCUACGGGAGGCAGCAUG
rnacentral:rRNA from 1 species